GUGCUCGCUUCAGCAGCACAUACACUAAAAUUGGAACGAUACAAAGAAGAUUAGCAUGGCCCCUGUGUAAAGGUGACAUGCAAAUUCGUGAAGCGUUCCAUAUUUUU